rnacentral:tRNA from 1 species
GCCUUCUUAGUUCAGUGGUUUAGAAUUUGUCACUAGUAGUUUUCGAAUGCUAUGACAGGGUCACUCGUUCGAUUCGGGUAGAAGGCA